UUCGCAAUGCCCGAAAGGGUGACGAAGCGACGCCGCGUGUGGGAAGAAGGCCUUCGGGUUGUAAACCACUGUCGGGAGUUAAGAAAUGUAAGGGUGUUAACAGCAUCCUUACUUGACUAAGGCUCCGGAGGAAGCCACGGCUAACUCUGUGCCAGCAGCCGCGGUAAUACAGAGGCGGCAAGCGUUGUUCGGAAUUAUUGGGCGUAAAGAGCACGUAGGCGGCCUUGCAAGUCAGUUGUGAAAUCCUUCUGCUUAACGGAAGAACAGCAGCUGAUACUGCAAGGCUAGAGUGCGGAAGGGGAGAGUGGAACUUCUGGUGGAGCGGUGAAAUGCGUAGAUAUCAGAAGGAACACCGGCGGCGAAGGCGACUCUCUGGUCCGUAACUGACGCUGAGUGUGCGAAAGCUAGGGGAGCAAACGGGAUUAGAUACCCCGGUAGUCCUAGCCGUAAACGAUGGGCACUAAGUAGAGGGGUUUU
rnacentral:rRNA from 1 species